UAGGGAAUCUUCCGCAAUGGGCGAAAGCCUGACGGAGCAACGCCGCGUGAGUGAUGAAGGUCUUCGGAUCGUAAAACUCUGUUAUUAGGGAAGAACAAAUGUGUAAGUAACUAUGCACGUCUUGACGGUACCUAAUCAGAAAGCCACGGCUAACUACGUGCCAGCAGCCGCGGUAAUACGUAGGUGGCAAGCGUUAUCCGGAAUUAUUGGGCGUAAAGCGCGCGUAGGCGGUUUUUUAAGUCUGAUGUGAAAGCCCACGGCUCAACCGUGGAGGGUCAUUGGAAACUGGAAAACUUGAGUGCAGAAGAGGAAAGUGGAAUUCCAUGUGUAGCGAUGAAAUGCGCAGAGAUAUGGAGGAACCCCAGUGGCGAAGGCGACUUUCUGGUCUGUAACUGACGCUGAUGUGCGAAAGCGUGGGGAUCAAACAGG
rnacentral:rRNA from 1 species